rnacentral:lncRNA from 1 species
UGGGCUUCAGAUAAAGCAAAAGAUGGCUAUGUAAGAGAAAAUAUAAAAGAAAAACUGACAGUGUCUAAAAGUUUGGGAAUAUAAUUUUCAUAAAUAUACUUUAUACAUUGUAUAUGUAUCACUCUAUGUUCACAUCUCACAUCUACUUGCAUUUUUUGCUUUCUUUGUCUUUCGAAAGGCUGCUACAGCUGUAGGCACACUUAUCCUAUUUAUGUGUUGUUUUAUUUAUUAAAUAAUUUAUAUUCGUUUGAGUUGGCGAAUUAGAAUAUAAAUAUAUUUAUUAAAGGUAUUAAGUCACAUGACGUUGUAACGGUCAAGUGAUUGUUUACUAUAAACACGUGUGUGUGUUUAUAUCAAGCACAUGGUGUGUGUUUACGUUCUAUUUGAUUGGAUGGCAUAUACCCGUAUUGCCGGUUUUACGGGUAUAUGCCCUCAUGAUUUUCGUGAAAAGCAUGAUUAAGUAUUACUUAAGGGGUUAGCUUGAGAAAAUUAAAUUAUUCGAAGUUUGCCUAUAGUUCAACGUAGCAGCAUUCGUUAUUAUGUUUACCCACCCACCCACCCUUUUAUGAGAUGGUUAUCGUUAAUGGGAGUAUAUGCAUAUAUUACAUUAUAUUAAUAUGAAUUUUUCCUCUUUUGUAGAUAGUUUUUGAUUGUGUUACUGUUACUGUAUAUAACUGUGCUAUUGUAUGAUUGGACUGAUGGUAGUGUGCCUGAAUUUAAAGUGAAGGACUUUAGUUUGAGAAUGAAAUUGAAUGUAAUGUAAUAUUAAAGGCUGCUACAGCUGUAGGCACACUUAUCCUAUUUAUGUGUUGUUUUAUUUAUUAAAUAAU